rnacentral:rRNA from 1 species
CAAUAGCGUAUAUUAAAGUUGUUGCGGUUAAAAAGCUCGUAGUUGGAUUUCUGCCUGAGGCAGCCGGUCCGCACUUAGUGCGUGUAUCUGGUUUGGUUUGGGCAUCCUCUUGGGAGUCGUUGCUGUGCUUAGUUGCAUGGUGCGGAAUUCAAGACGUUUACUUUGAGGAAAUUAGAGUGGUUACGGCAAGCUAUCGCUUUGAAUACAUUAGCAUGGAAUAAUAAUCUAGGACUUCGGUUCUAUUUUGUUGGUUUCUAGUACUGAAGUAAUGAUUGAUAGGGAUAGUUGGGGUGGCUAGUAUUGGCCGGCCAGAGGUGAAAUUCUUGGAUUCGGUCAAGACUAACUUAUGCGAAAGCAUUCACCAAGGAUGUCUUCUUUAAUCAAGAACGAAAGUUGGGGAGUCGAAGACGAUCAGAUACCA